UCCUGGCUAGCUCAAUCGGCGGAGCGAGCGGCUGUUAACCGCUAGGUUGUAGGUUCAAGUCCUACGCCAGGAGCCA
rnacentral:tRNA from 1 species